UCGUUAUCAGGUGAUGUAUUCUUCUCUCAUGGCUAUGUCUCAUGGUAUCUUCCGGUAAACCUUCAGCUCAGGUAGACUAUUUGUAGGUUUUGAUUAUCAGGUCACUCCCACUGUGCACGCUGCAGACGCAUCAGCUACUGCUGAGCAAUGUCAGUAUGACAUUAGGUAAGGUGGAUACGUAGCUAACGUAUAGCUGCGGUUUCGGGUUUUAGUAAUACUGUGUUUUUCUUGCUAAGUGAUGGUAUGUCACGGCUGAGCUGUGCCAUACAGCAGUCUACUGUAGGGUCUUUCUGUACAAUGUCUUCUGUUAUAUAACCGCGCAUGUCUUUUCUAUUCCAAAUUCAGUCUGGCAUAUCGAAAGAGUAUCUCCUCUCUCAGUAGCGCAGGUUUGAAAAUCACGUUGAGGCAAUGGUGUUCAAAAAUACCCUUUUCCAGAUGCGGUCUGUACGAUGGCUUCAGGGGUGCUUCAGUCUGAAUACACUAAAAUGUUCCUUUCUGCGUUAUCUCUUAAGUUCUGUUUGCAUUAUGUAUGCUCACAUGUGGAACACGUGUCAUCACCGGAACUAACACUGCUUUAUCUCAGCCUGCAUGCUGAGCACGGGCAGCAGCUGGCGGACCUCUGUUCAACAUUGAUGCUGGCGCCCAGUGAGAAGCCACUGGAUCUCGUCGCGGCUCUGGUUCCUUCGUCUGCGCUAUUGUCGCCGCUGCUACUUCUCCCUGAUCCUCUGCUACCAUGUUACAAUUUAAAAUGUUUCUGAGGAUUGUGAAAUCUACCCGAGUUCUUGCAGUAUUGGUAUAUGAUCAUGAUUGUCGGCCUGUGGUCCAUUAGCUAUGUUGCAUCAGCCUCAUGUGCUUCAAAAGAGCAAUCUUCAGGCAACGACAAAGGUCACUAUCACCCUCACUCUAUAUACAUGGAUUCAUGUUAAGGGUGUUCGGAUCGUACAAUCAUUUGUACUUAAGGCAGUUAGUUGUCUUGCGGCUUUCUAUGAGUUUUUACGGCAAACCAAUGACAACAUACUGGUUUUUCAUCACGGCUCUGUCUCCUCCUGCGGGGCCAUCUCCUGAGCUAUACGCAAACCCAUUCGUUUUGCAUCGGCGUCGCAUCAACAGCUUCUCUAUCUGUCCCUGCAGCCACACUGGAGAUCACGGGGCAUUGGUCCUCUGCUUCCUAUGAACGCUAUAUUAGAUUAAACGCCAUGGAGAUUUUGGGUGUCAAAAGUGAUGAGUUAAUUUGCGUGUUCCAUGCCUUAUAUAGAUCGCUAUGUCGGCGUUCAGAGAUCUGUUCUUAACCGACUUGCCAAGUUAAAUAAAGGUUCACAGUCAAUA